rnacentral:rRNA from 1 species
GAUGAACGCUGGCGGCGUGCCUAAUACAUGCAAGUCGAGCGAACAGACGAGGAGCUUGCUCCUCUGACGUUAGCGGCGGACGGGUGAGUAACACGUGGAUAACCUACCUAUAAGACUGGGAUAACUUCGGGAAACCGGAGCUAAUACCGGAUAACAUGUUGAACCGCAUGGUUCAACAGUGAAAGACGGUUUUGCUGUCACUUAUAGAUGGAUCCGCGCCGCAUUAGCUAGUUGGUAAGGUAACGGCUUACCAAGGCAACGAUGCGUAGCCGACCUGAGAGGGAGGGGGGGCACACGUGGACUGAGACACGGACCAGACCCCUACGGGAGGCAGCAGUAGGGAAUCUUCCGAAAAGGGCGAAAGCUUGACAGACCAAGGCAGCGUGGAAGAAGAAGGUCUUCGGAUCUUAAACCCCUGUUAUUAGGGAAGAACAAAUGUGUAAGUAACUAUGCACGUCUUGACGGUACCUAAUCAGAAAGCCACGGCUAACUACGUG